rnacentral:rRNA from 1 species
AAUGAACGCUGGCGGCGUGCUUAACACAUGCAAGUCGAACGAGAAAGUCCUUCGGGAUGAGUACAGUGGCGAACGGGUGAGUAACACGUGAGUUAUCUGCCUUUUAGUGAAGGAUACCUUUGAGAAAUCGAAGUUAAUACUGCAUAAUCCCGCAAGGGGAAAGAUGGCCUCUUUGCUAUCGCUGAAAGAUGAGCUUGCGUCCUAUUAGCUAGUUGGUGGGGUAAAGGCCUACCAAGGCAGAGAUGGGUAGCCGGCCUGAGAGGGUGUACGGCCACAUUGGGACUGAGAUACGGCCCAGACUCCUACGGGUGGCUG